GACGAACGCUGGCGGCGUGCUUAACACAUGCAAGUCGAGCGGUAAGGCCCUUUCGGGGGUACACGAGCGGCGGAACGGUGAGUAACACGUGGGUGACCUGCCCUCAGCUCUGGGAUAAGCCUGGGAAACCGGUCUAAUACUGGAUAUGACUCCAUGACGCAUGUUGUGGGGUGGAAAGCCUUGUGCGGCUGAGGAUGGGCCCG
rnacentral:rRNA from 1 species